GGGAAUCGUUUUUUGAAGAUGGAGCAGAACUGCAGUUGUGUAAGACGGAUCAUCUGUUUUCUUGUUCCUUCAUGUUCCGGCCUAAAAAUGUUCCAUCUAAAUCGGCUUUGACAACGUGGAGUUCAAGUUUUCUUGCUUCAAUAGGAUAAAAGAAUGCGGUGUCCGACUCUUGAAUGUGUCUCCAUAGCCAGAUGAUAGUGAUGGAAGAGACUGUUAGAAGCAAGAAGCGGAUGCUGGAUGCAGCAUCCAAAUAACAUAGUGACAAACAUUUAACAGAAUCGUUUGUAGCGGACACAGGAUUGGCAGGGAGAAGCAUCAUCAGUUUCUUCUUAUCCAUGUCUGGAGGGGGAAAGCUUUGUGUGUUGAUUACAUGAUGACUGAGCAACAAGAUGCAGUUUAUGCCCAUCUUGACUAUCUUGGAUCCUAAUCUUGAUGGUAGGGGAGCUUGGAGAUUUCGGAGAACCACAAUCCGUUUAACUCUCCAACUUCGGAGCCUGAAAGUGUUUGUAGUUUUUUCUUUCUAUGAAUGCAGAAACACUCUGUGUUUGCUUUGAAUCGCUAUUACUGAAAGAAUAAAUGUUUCAAUAAGCCACACUUUAGCAUAUAUUCUGGAAAAAUAUUGCUGGCAUGCUUUUUGUAUUUUUACCAUACAUCUAUGUAUUUUAAUCCAAAGAAACAUUGAAUCUGUGAGCUUAGGGUUUA